GACUACAUGAAGCUGGAAUCGCUAGUAAUCGCGGAUCAGAAUGCCGCGGUGAAUACGUUCCCGGGUCUUGUACACACCGCCCGUCACACCAUGGGAGUCGGAUAUGCCCGAAGCCGGUGACCUAACCGCAAGGAAGGAGCCGUCGAAGGUGGAGCCGAUGACUGGGGUGAAGUCGUAACAAGGUAAC
rnacentral:rRNA from 1 species